rnacentral:tRNA from 1 species
UGCCCCAUGGCUGAGUUGGUUACAGCGUCCGACUGUUACAGCCAACAUCGGAAGGUCGAGAGUUCGAGCCUCUCUGGGGCAG